CUAACCACUAUGAUCAAGGUCGGCACUGAACAUAUGGGGGAAGCGCCUUUAUCUGGUCGUCGUCACUUCUGCCUUUCCGCGUCUCCUUUUGGUCGCGCUCAGUCGCCUCUUGGGGUCGUUCGCCGUCUCCUCCUAGCGAAACCAUGAGCGUCGUCAGCAGCAGAGGCGAUGGCGAGAAACGCCGGCCUCCGCCCGACCCGGUGGCAGUGCUGAGAGGUCACCGCGCUUCCGUCAUGGACGCCACCUUCCACCCCUCGAGAUCCUUUCUCUUCACUGGCGCCGCCGACGGAGAGCUGCGGAUUUGGGACACCGUGCAGCACCGUACGCUCUCCUCCACCUGGGCUCAUGGCGGAGCUGCAGGCGUCUACUGUGUUGCUAUCAGUCCAUCUAUUGGGGAAAGAGUUGUGAGUCAGGGCAGAGAUGGGACAUGUAAAUGCUGGGAGAUUGAGGAAUCUGGUCUCUCCAGGAAGCCUCUGGUUACAUUCAGGACCAACACAUAUCACUUCUGCAAACUUUCAUUGGUGAAGUCCCCUUCAAGCACAGAACUAUUGGGGCAAAAAUCUGUUGACCCAUUGGAUGGGAAAUCUGCUUGUUCUACUAAUGACAGAGAGAUUCUUGAUUCAGAGGAAGGGGGCCAGUAUUUUCCUGAUGUAAAUAGUGAUGAGACAUCUCCAAAACAAAUAGAAGGCUUCAAUACACCUAGAGGAUCAAUGUUGAUGGCUGUAGCUGGAGAAGAAUCUUAUCAGGUUAAAAUAUGGGAUCUUAAUAGUGGACAAUGGUUGAUGUGCUUGCCUCAAAUUUCUGACUCUAUUUCCACAGAACCUCCAAUUAAACGAAGAGGAAUGUGUAUGGCUGUCCAAGCUUUUUUAUCAUCUGAAUCACAGGGAUUUUUAAAUAUUUUAUCUGGUUAUGAAGAUGGUAGCAUGCUUUGGUGGGAUAUAAGAAAGCCUGUCACUCCAUUAUGUUCUGUAAAAUUUCAUUCAGAAGCAGUUUUAUCCCUUGCACUUGAUGGAUUAUGCAAUGGUGGCAUAUCUGGAGCUGCUGAUAACAAAGUAGUGUUAUUCCAUCUCGAUCAUCAAAAGGGUACUUGUACUAUUAGGAAAGAAAUAAGUGUUGAUCAUCCAGGCACAGCUGGCACAUCAAUAAGAGCAGACAGUAAAAUUGCAGCAACUGCAGGAUGGGAUCACAGCCUGUAGGAUGAUAAAGCUUGAUUACAGGGACAAGUAUGGUGCUGGAUUAGGUAGAAAUCCAAGCAAUUGCGACGUCAAUACUCCUUAUUGUUGUAGGUUCAUCAUUCUUAAGAGUACGAGUGUAUAAUUAUCGGAAAGGAAAUGCCCUAGCAAUACUAAAAUAUCACAGUGGUUUGUGCAAUGCGGUGACGUUUUCAACCGACUGCAAGCUGAUGGCAUCUUGCUCUCAGGACUCGACUGUUGCAUUAUGGGAUCUUUAUCCUCCUCGUAUCUAACCAAAAGGAAAAAGUUUCUGCACUGCUUUACACAAUCCACUAUUCUACUAUGAGCAUUAAGGAAUUCCAAAAAAGGACAAAUCUUAGCUCAAGGUCCACAGGAGUUGGUAAUCCAAUCCCUACUCGUUCUCUUAAGUUUUUUCCACUUACCCUUUUAUUUUCUCCUUGUCAGUGAUCAUUUGAGGUGCCACUUUGCAAUGAUAUUACCUUCUGGUUUUUCCUUUCCAAUUGCCGCGGACAAAAACAAAUGAGUCAUAAGCUUUAACUUCACAUGGUCAUUCUCAAUCGCCUGAUAUUUAACUGAUCAUAAAUUAAUGGCUUAGAUGGCCUCAAUUCAAUUAUCAGCUUUUUAAACAUGUACUCUGGAUUGCAAGUGAGUUUAUUUAAAUUACGAAUACCAACUUCUACUUGAA